CUGAUCAGUAAAGGCAUUGCAUUGUGUCCUGCUCCGCCAUGAGUUCCAGGUUCCUCUCCCGCAUCACUGAGUAAGCAGCAGCCCAGGUUGGCUCUGGUCAAGUUCUCUCCAACCCAGAGAGCAUGUGCCCGGAAAGAAACACCCUCACGCUAGCCCGGCAGAGAGGGAGAGAAAGAUAGACCCUUGCAGAGCCGUUUCACAGCUCAUGAAGUGAAUCCCCUGCCGAUAAAAGCCUGGGAAUGAGUAGCAAACUUUCUUUGAGUCAAAGUGGAAGGAAGUUCUGCUGACUUUUCCUUUGGAUACCGGAUGUAUUUCUUCUGAAUGCUCAGCCUUGAACAAUUGCAAUAAAUCAGUUCUCACCCAUGUUGUCCCUGCCUAAUCUGGACUGAGUGGAUCCUUGCCACCAAGUUGAAGAUGCUACCAUGAUGCCAACCUGACGUCCCCGGGCAGACGGCCUCACCCAGGUGUCCUGGAACCUUCCCUCCCCAGAGCCUUGCCCCACUAGGGAAAGACAGAGACAGGCUGGAGGUGUGGAUCCACCUGCCAACACCCAUGUCCAGUGGAGAAGCAACUACAGAAGCCAGACCUCUCACCUUCUGCUCCCCAUAAAGAAACUUUGGUCCAGACUCCCAGAGGGGGAGAAAUGUCAGGGAAAGAUGACCAGAGGGCUCUGAACCCAACUCCAUCAGGACCCAGAGAGAGAAGAGGAAAAAAGGAAGGACAUUCAGAAGUAGUCACAGGUAUAGGUGUGACUUAGAAACAAAGAGAAGACAGCACCAUAGGAAAAAAAGGCAAAUAUAUAAAAAUGUAGACAGAGAAAUAAUCGUCAACCCAAAUCUGUGACCUUGGGAGAACCACUGCAGUUUCCAAUGGAGGGGAUGGGGACACAGAGCUCUGGUGGUGGGAACAGUGUGAAUUAUACCCCUGUUAUGUUACAGCUUUGAAAAUAAAUAUUAAAUUACUAAAAAUAGAAAAA